GUGCUCACUUUGGCAGCACAUAGACUAAAAUUGGAACGAUACAGAGAAGAUUAGCAUGGCUCCUGCACAAGGAUGACACGCAAAUUCGUGAAGCAUGCCAUAUUUUU
ensembl:snRNA U6 U6 spliceosomal RNA